rnacentral:tRNA from 1 species
GGAGGUAUGGCUCAGUGACAGAGCACUUGCCUAGCAUGCAUGAGGCCCUGGGUUCCAUUCCCAGCACCACAA